UACGUAGGGGGCGAGCGUUGUCCGGAUUUAUUGGGCGUAAAGAGCGUGUAGGCGGCCAGGUAGGUCUGCUGUGAAAAACUCGAGGCUCAACCUCGAGACGUCGGCGGAAACCAUCUGGCUAGAGUCCGGAAGAGGAGAGUGGAAUUCCGUGGUGUAGCGGUGAAAUGCGCAGAUAUCAGGAGGAACACCCGUGGCGAAGGCGGUCUCU
rnacentral:rRNA from 1 species